rnacentral:rRNA from 1 species
UACGGAGGAUCCAAGCGUUAUCCGGAUUAUUGGGUUUAAAGGGUGCGUAGGCGGCCUGUUAAGUCAGGGGUGAAAGACGGUAGCUCAACUAUCGCAGUGCCCUUGAUACUGACGGGCUUGAAUUGACUAGAGGUAGGCGGAAUGUGACAAGUAGCGGUGAAAUGCAUAGAUAUGUCACAGAACACCGAUUGCAAGAGACAGCUUACUAUGGUCAUAUUGACGCUGAGGCACGAAAGCGUGGGGAUCAAACAGG